rnacentral:rRNA from 1 species
UACGUAGGUGGCAAGCGUUGUCCGGAUUUACUGGGCGUAAAGGGUGCGUAGGUGGAUAUUUAAGUGGGAUGUGAAAUACCUGAGCUUAACUUGGGUGCUGCAUUCCAAACUGGAUAUCUAGAGUGCAGGAGAGGAAAGUGGAAUUCCUAGUGUAGCGGUGAAAUGCGUAGAGAUUAGGAAGAACACCAGUGGCGAAGGCGACUUUCUGGACUGUAACUGACACUGAGGCUCGAAAGCGUGGGGAGCAAACAGG